CCCUGCUCCAGGGAACACAAUCGAUGCCGAUGUGGGCUCGCUAGACCACUGUGUGUUGGAAGGUCGUGUAUGUGAGCAUUUUGUUUCCAGCGCCAGUUGCAUGAUUUUCGCCCCAUAGAGGAUCGUCUUCAAAAAGGAGACGAGCGUUCCCACUCCAGCGCCGUGUUGGUGUUAUUACACUCACAGCUUUUGCUGUCUAAAAGGGAAAACCGUUUCCACGGUGCCGACUAGACAGCAGAAAGACGAAUUGAAUGUAGCAGGACUGGGGGAGAAAAGAAUCUCCUUUCAAGGUUGUGACAGCAGUUGUGAAGGAUUCAGAAGCCAGUUAUUCGAAUCUUAUCCCAAACUGAGUGAGGGUGGUGGAUUUGAACUAAUGAAGAUUUCAGGAUCUACGAGAAGCUGGAUCUUGGCUGUUAGUCCUUGCCCUAAUGAGGGGUACUCGGCAAAAUAUUUAAGGGACCCAGAAACCCAAAUUGUCUGCUGCAAUUCAUUUUGUAGGUUCCUGGACUGUCCUUAUCCACUGGGCCCCUGAUGAAGUGCCUCUUUUGUGAGAGACUUUUCUUUCUCAGAAAUAGUCACAGUGACAGCUGUAGCAGCAGGUUAUUGUAAGAACAACUCGACAGGUUAAACAGCUGAGGAAAGGACUGAAAGAGACAUUGGUCUGGCCUCUCCUGAAGGAAAGAAGUGAUAUUAUUCCACUGAUGUUUCCGAG